rnacentral:rRNA from 1 species
GGAGGGAUCAUUACCGAGUUUACAACUCCCAAACCCCUGUGAACAUACCUUUAUGUUGCCUCGGCGGAUCAGCCCGCGCCCCGUAAAACGGGACGGCCCGCCGCAGGAACCACAAAACUCUGAUUUUAGUGUAACUUCUGAGUCUAAAAAACAAAUAAAUCAAAACUUUCAACAACGGAUCUCUUGGUUCUGGCAUCGAUGAAGAACGCAGCAAAAUGCGAUAAGUAAUGUGAAUUGCAGAAUUCAGUGAAUCAUCGAAUCUUUGAACGCACAUUGCGCCCGCCAGUAUUCUGGCGGGCAUGCCUGUUCGAGCGUCAUUUCAACCCUCAAGCCCCCGGGUUUGGUGUUGGGGAUCGGGCUGUACUCCAGCCCGGCCCCGAAAUCUAGUGGCGGUCUCGCUGCAGCCUCCAUUGCGUAGUAGCUAACACCUCGCAACUGGAACGCGGCGCGGCCAAGCCGUUAAACCCCCAACUUCUGAAUGUUGACCUCGGAUCAGGUAGG